AACGAACGCUGGCGGCAUGCCUAACUCAUGCAAGUCGAACGAGACCUUCGGGUCUAGUGGCGCACGGGUGCGUAACGCGUGGGAACCUGCCUUUAGGUUCGGAAUAACUCAGGGAAAUUUGAGCUAAUACCGGAUGAUGUCUUCGGACCAAAGAUUUAUCGCCUUUAGAUGGGCCCGCGUUGGAUUAGCUAGUUGGUGGGGUAAAGGCCUACCAAGGCGACGAUCCAUAGCUGGUCUGAGAGGAUGAUCAGCCACACUGGGACUGAGACACGGCCCAGACUCCUACGGGAGGCAGCAGUGGGGAAUAUUGGACAAUGGGCGAAAGCCUGAUCCAGCAAUGCCGCGUGAGUGAUGAAGGCCUUAGGGUUGUAAAGCUCUUUUACCCGAGAUGAUAAUGACAGUAUCGGGAGAAUAAGCUCCGGCUAACUCCGUG
rnacentral:rRNA from 1 species